UGGGGAAUCUUGCGCAAUGCGCGAAAGCGUGACGCAGCAACGCCGCGUGGGGGAAGAAGGCCUUCGGGUUGUAAACCCCUUUCAGUUGGGACGAAGCUUCUCCGGUGAAUAGCCGGCCGGAGUGACGGUACCUUCAGAAGAAGCCCCGGCUAACUACGUCCCAGCAGCCGCGGUAAUACGUAGGGGGCUAGCGUUUUCCGGAAUUAUUGGGCAUAAAGCGCGUGUAGGCGGCCCGGUAAGUCCGUUGUGAAAGUCGGGGGCUCAACCCUCGAAAGCCGGUGGAUACUGUCGGGCUCGGGUGCGGAAGAGGCGAGUGGAAUUCCUGGUGUAGCGGUGAAAUGCGCAGAUAUCAGGAGGAACACCGAUUGCGAAGGCAGCUCGCUGGGACGUUACUGACGCUGAGACGCGAAAGCGUGGGGAGCAAACAGG
rnacentral:rRNA from 1 species